UACGAGUGCCUCAAGCGUUAUCCGGAAUCAUUGGGCGUAAAGGUUGUGUAGGUGGUUAUAUUAGUCUUUUGUUAAGUUCUUCGGCUUAACCGGGGGCAUGCAAAGGAAACGGUAUGACUAGAGGAUGCGAGGGGUCUGCGGAACUCAUAGUGUAGCGGUAAAAUGCGUUGAUAUUAUGGGGAACACCAAAAGCGAAGGCAGCAGACUGGAGCACUCCUGACACUGAAACAAGAAAGCGUGGGUCGCGAAUGGG
rnacentral:rRNA from 1 species